rnacentral:lncRNA from 1 species
GCAAGAACUUCAUGUCUAAAACACCAAAAGCAAUGGCAACAAAAGCCAAAAUGGACAAAUGGGAUCUAAUUAAACUAAAGAGCUUCUGCACAGCAAAAGAAACUACCAUCAGAGUGAACAGGCAACCUACAGAAUGGGAGAAAAUUUUUGCAAUCUACUCAUCUGACAAAGGGCUAAUAUCCAGAAUCUACAAAGAACUCAGACAAAUUUACAAGAAAAAAACAAACAACCAUGCAAAUCAAUAAAUGUAAUCCAUCACAUAAACAGAACCAAUGACAAAAAUCACGAUUAUCUCAAUAGAUGCAGAAAAGGCCUUCAACAAAAUUCAACACCCCUUCAUACUAAAAACUCUCAACAGACUAGGUAUCAAUAGAAUGUAUCUCAAAAUAAUAAGAGCUAUUUAUGAUAAACCCACAUCAAUAUCAUCUGGAAUGGGCAAAAACUGGAAGCAUUCCCUUUGAAAACCAGCAUAAGACAAGGAUGCCUUCUCUCACUACUCCUAUUCAGUAUAGUAUUGGAAGUUCUGGCCAGGACAAUCAGGCAAGAGAAAGAAAUAAAGCGUAUUCA